rnacentral:rRNA from 1 species
AGCGAACGCUGGCGGCAGGCCUAAUACAUGCAAGUCGAGCGGGUGUAGCAAUACACCAGCGGCAGACGGGAGAGUAACACGUGGGAACGUGCCCUUCAGUUCGGAACAACCCAGGGAAACUUGGGCUAAUACCGGAUACGUCCGUAAGGAGAAAGAUUUAUCGCUGAAGGAUCGGCCCGCGUCUGAUUAGCUUGUUGGUGAGGUAACGGCUCACCAAGGCGACGAUCAGUAGCUGGUCUGAGAGGAUGAUCAGCCUCACUGGGACUGAGACACGGCCCAGACUCCUACGGGAGGCAGCAGU